UCGUUGCUGACGAGUCCCAUACUAGGACGAAACGGCCGUUCAAUGA
rnacentral:hammerhead_ribozyme from 1 species